UCGCAACGGGUUUGCCGCCAGGAUACAGGUGUCGUGAAAACCACCGUUAAACCUAAGCCAAAAUGGGAAAAGAGAAGACCCACAUCAACAUCGUCGUCAUUGGGCACGUAGAUUCAGGGAAGUCUACCACGACUGGCCAUCUGAUCUACAAAUGUGGCGGGAUCGACAAGAGAACAAUUGAGAAGUUCGAGAAGGAGGCUGCCGAGAUGGGAAAGGGCUCCUUCAAAUAUGCCUGGGUCUUGGACAAACUGAAAGCUGAACGUGAGCGUGGUAUCACCAUUGAUAUCUCCCUGUGGAAAUUUGAGACCAGCAAGUACUAUGUUACCAUUAUUGAUGCCCCGGGACACAGAGACUUCAUCAAAAACAUGAUUACAGGCACAUCCCAGGCUGACUGUGCUGUCCUGAUUGUUGCUGCUGGUGUUGGUGAAUUUGAAGCCGGUAUCUCCAAGAACGGGCAGACCCGCGAGCACGCCCUUCUGGCUUACACUCUGGGUGUGAAACAACUAAUUGUUGGAGUUAACAAAAUGGAUUCCACUGAGCCACCCUAUAGCCAGAAGAGAUGCGAGGAAAUUGUUAAGGAAGUCAGCACCUACAUUAAGAAAAUUGGCUACAACCCUGACACAGUAGCAUUUGUGCCAAUUUCUGGCUGGAAUGGUGACAACAUGCUGGNAUUAGUUGGAGGCUAA